rnacentral:rRNA from 1 species
UUUUAGAGUUUGAUCAUGGCUCAGGAUGAACGCUGGCGGCGUGCCUAAUACAUGCAAGUCGAGCGAACAGACGAGGAGCUUGCUCCUCUGACGUUAGCGGCGGACGGGUGAGUAACACGUGGAUAACCUACCUAUAAGACUGGGAUAACUUCGGGAAACCGGAGCUAAUACCGGAUAAUAUAUUGAACCGCAUGGUUCAAUAGUGAAAGACGGUUUUGCUGUCACUUAUAGAUGGAUCCGCGCCGCAUUAGCUAGUUGGUAAGGUAACGGCUUACCAAGGCAACGAUGCGUAGCCGACCUGAGAGGGUGAUCGGCCACACUGGAACUGAGACACGGUCCAGACUCCUACGGGAGGCAGCAGUAGGGAAUCUUCCGCAAUGGGCGAAAGCCUGACGGAGCAACGCCGCGUGAGUGAUGAAGGUCUUCGGAUCGUAAAACUCUGUUAUUAGGGAAGAACAAAUGUGUAAGUAACUAUGCACGUCUUGACGGUACCUAAUCAGAAAGCCACGGCUAACUACGUGCCAGCAGCCGCGGUAAUACGUAGGUGGCAAGCGUUAUCCGGAAUUAUUGGGCGUAAAGCGCGCGUAGGCGGUUUUUUAAGUCUGAUGUGAAAGCCCACGGCUCAACCGUGGAGGGUCAUUGGAAACUGGAAAACUUGAGUGCAGAAGAGGAAAGUGGAAUUCCAUGUGUAGCGGUGAAA